UGGGGAAUCUUGGACAAUGGGGGCAACCCUGAUCCAGCGAUGCCGCGUGAGUGAAGAAGGCCUUAGGGUUGUAAAGCUCUUUCACCCGUGAAGAUAAUGACGGUAGCGGGAGAAGAAGCCCCGGCUAACUCCGUGCCAGCAGCCGCGGUAAGACGGAGGGGGCUAGCGUUGUUCGGAAUGACUGGGCGUAAAGGGCGCGUAGGUGGUUUUUCAAGUCAGGCGUGAAAGCCCCGGGCUUAACCUGGGAACUGCGCUUGAUACUGGAUGACUAGAGGGCGGGAGAGGAAAGUGGAAUUCCGGGUGUAGAGGUGAAAUUCGUAGAUAUUCGGAGGAAGAUCAGAGGCGAAGGCGGCUUUCUGGCUCGUAUCUGACGCUGAGGCGCGAAAGCGUGGGGAGCAAA
rnacentral:rRNA from 1 species